rnacentral:rRNA from 1 species
GCUUAUGCGUUGUUGGGUAGGGGAGCGUUCUGUAAGCCUGCGAAGGUGGCCUGUGAGGGUUGCUGGAGGUAUCAGAAGUGCGAAUGCUGACAUAAGUAACGAUAAAGCGGGUGAAAAGCCCGCUCGCCGGAAGACCAAGGGUUCCUGUCCAACGUUAAUCGGGGCAGGGUGAGUCGACCCCUAAGGCGAGGCCGAAAGGCGUAGUCGAUGGGAAACGGGUUAAUAUUCCCGUACUUGGUGUUACUGCGAAGGGGGGACGGAGAAGGCUAUGUUGGCCGGGCGACGGUUGUCCCGGUUUAAGCGUGUAGGUGUGUGUUCCAGGUAAAUCCGGUUCACUUUAACACUGAGGCGUGAUGACGAGGCACUACGGUGCUGAAGCAACAAAUGCCCUGCUUCCAGGAAAAGCCUCUAAGCAUCAGGUAACAUCAAAUCGUACCCCAAACCGACACAGGUGGUCAGGUAGAGAAUACCAAGGCGCUUGAGAGAACUCGGGUGAAGGAACUAGGCAAAAUGGUGCCGUAACUUCGGGAGAAGGCACGCUGACAUGUAGGUGAAGUGAUUUACUCAUGGAGCUGAAGUCAGUCGAAGAUACCAGCUGGCUGCAACUGUUUAUUAAAAACACAGCACUGUGCAAACACGAAAGUGGACGUAUACGGUGUGACGCCUGCCCGGUGCCGGAAGGUUAAUUGAUG